CUGAGGACAGAGGAGAGAGCAGAAUAGAGUGGACAGUGAAUUGUUAUCAGGGGACCUUAGGCAGAAUGUUCUUCUGACCCAAAACUGACUGAAAAAGUUGUGGGUCUGUUUUCUUCAGAAGAAGGUUGUCUUUGCUUGUAUAUGCUAGGAGAUUUGAUCAUUGUAAGGAUCCCCUUCCCCACGUCUACUACUCUGAUGGUCAUCCACCUUUUCGCCUCGACGGCAGUCUUCCUCCUUCUCCACUCCCUUGCAGUCACACACACCUUCCUCAGACCCAGUCUGCGUGCACAUAAUGACAGUUUUAGUGUUUGGCAUGUACACAUUUCUCAUAUAGAAAUAUAAGAACAAACUCAGUCACUACUACACCUUUACAUGUGUGUUUUUGAUUGAAAAGUAGCCUUAACGAGCCCUUUUAAUCCACAGAUCCAGCUGACAUGCCUGUUCCAUGGCUUCAGAUUGAGGCUACAGAGUGUGAAGGUGAACUGAAAGCUGAGGAUCAAUGGCCUCUGAGGACAAAGGACCAGUAGAUGACGGUGAUGGAGGUGUUGACAACAACGAUGCCGAUCAUGAUGGGGUGCAUCAUGGUGACUGAGGUGUUGAGCUCACAACUGAAGAUGCACACAUACUGUACAUCACACGAACAAUGUCUUUCCCCUGAUCCGGGUUAUGAAAAGAGUAUGUUUGUACUGUUAAGUGGCUAAAUUCCCAAUCUAACCCUCAAACCGUCACAGUCACCUAAUAAUCCCCAGUUUAUGAUUGGCUCAUUCAUCCCCCUCUCCCCUGUAACCAUUCCCCAGGGCGUUGCUGUAAAUUAGAACGUGUUCUCAAUCAACUUACCUAGUAAAAUAAUGGAAAAAAUAAAGUGUAAAUGCUACAUUUUCAUUCCAUUUGUAAUCUUUGUCAAAGCACAGAGGAUAUCAAUGUGUUUCAGUGUGAAUGAGAAAGCUGAAGGGAAAUAACUUGUAGAGUAUUUCCAAAUUCAUAUGACCCUAUUAUUAAUGUCUCUGAUGGCGGAGUAUGAGUGGCUGUGUGGAUUAGCCAUCAUGAUGCAAUACCUCUGACUGGGCUAGAACACAGGCAAGCUACUGCCAUGAAAGUGCUAACCGACACCAUUGUUGUAUUGUCUCAAUGUUAUUACCUAAGCCUUUAUUUUCAUUUGAGAUUAAAAAUAAAUGCGAAUGACAAGAGCAGAAAAGUGGAUUAACAAUCUUGAUUGACCAAUCAGG